GGGCAGGGGGAGGGGGGAAAGUUCCCACACACACACGCAGGGGAAAGGGGAAAAAUUAAGAAAAAUAUUAAAAAAAAAAAAAAGAGGAAAGGAGAGAAGGGAGGAGGGGGGAGAAGAAGGGGGGGAUAACCCCAGAUCAGGUGCUGCGGCGAGCGAGAGAGCAGGGGGCAGAGUGAGAGAGAACGCACAAAGUGUCCCGCAAGUGGGGACGGAGGAGGAGGAGGAGGAGGAGAAGUCCGCUCCGGGCGGCGGGGCUGGGGCCGAGGGGAGGGGGAGGGCAGUUUCUUUUUGUGGUCCUUGCUCUAGCACCACGUUAAAGACGAAGGUGAAAAGGAGGAGGUUUGAAGGACUUCGGUUCUCUCUGGCAAGUACAUUGAUCAAAGAUUGAGAGGGGAAUGACAGAGAGAAAAUGAGCGGGGAAGUGCUGGCUGCUGCUGCCGCCGCCGCCGCCGCUCGCUCGCUGGACGAGUUGUUGUUGUCACACGGUGCGGAGGGGAGGAGCUCCGGCAACUUGAAAUACCCUUUGAAGCAGCAAAAGGCUCACUCACUAGUAUUAACCCAAAUUAUCCAACCAGGAACCCGGAGCAGGGAAACAGCGAGAGAGGGAGAGAAGUCCCUCUCCCCCCCUCCUUCAGGAACCGUUAGAUUACAUGUUUCAUAUUUCACCCCACCAGAGAUGAGAUGUAAUUUUCCCAGCCCUUUUCAACAGUCGCUUGUCAACACAGUUUGCGGAGAAACACGAGCGUCUCCAGCGUUCCCCCAAAGCCGGGCGGGAGCGGGGGAGCCGGGGCGCGGGGCGGGCGCUGGGCACCGCACACCUUGCCGGGGCAGACAAAAGCAGAAACCUCCGGACGGGGCUGUUGCUCUUGCUGCUGCUGUUGCUCUCCCGGGACCACAAACGCUCCUCCCGGGCGGGGUGGGAGUUGCUGCCGAGGGUCCCCUUUGUUGCGCGGCGGCGGCUGCGCGGGGCGCGCACGGGCAGCCCCACGCGGCAGCAUCCGCGGAGGACUCUCCUGCGGCGGCCGCGGAUCGGAUCGCAGGGGACUGGCACUGCGCGUCAGGCCGUCGAGACGCCGCACCGACCGGGCUGCGGCGGCACAGAAGUAACUUGGGAGAGGGGCAGGCGGGCGGCCCGCGCAGGUCCCGCCGCGCAACAGGUGUCGGCGGCGCGCAGCGCAGCCCCGGGCCGGCCCCUCCGCGCCGCACAGCGCGCAAAGUCAGCCGGCGCGCUGGCCCGCGCAUGCGCGCUGGGGCGGCGGCAGGCGCGGUACCUGCCGGCCCCGAGCCGGGAUGCGGCUGGAGCGCGCUUGGCAGCUGGCGUGCCGGGCUCCGCCGGGAAAGCCCGGGGCUCUGCUCCGCCUGUCUUGAGACACUUCGCACUUUGAAAGGGAAAGCCAGCUCUGUCCAUAUUUUAUUUCCCUUACCUGUUCUUUUUGCAUGUCACCUUCUCUCACACCUUGUGAAGACAGAAGAGCUCCAUAAGAAGAUCAGGAUAGAGCCAGACACGCGUGGUAUUGCCACUUGGAGAUGUGGGUGA
rnacentral:lncRNA from 1 species